UAACUCAGUCAGACCACACCA
rnacentral:miRNA from 1 species